rnacentral:rRNA from 1 species
GAUGAACGCUGGCGGCAUGCCUAAUACAUGCAAGUCGAACGGACGGAAGAGAAAAGCUUGCUUUUUUUGAAAGUCAGUGGCGAACGGGUGAGUAACACGUAGGUAACCUGCCCAUGUGCCCGGGAUAAUUUCUGGAAACGGAAACUAAAACCGGAUAGGUAGGGAUCUCGCAUGAGGACCUUAUUAAAGGGGCUGCGGCCCUGAACAUGGAUGGACCUGCGUUCCAUUAGGCAGUUGGUGAGGUAACGGCUCACCAAACCUUCGAUGGAUAGGGGUUCUGAGAGGAAGGUCCCCCACAUUGGAACUGAGACACGGUCCAA